rnacentral:lncRNA from 1 species
AAAUAGAGCCACGUUUCGGUCAUCAUGAAGUUGAUUUUCGGUGGCAGCAUAAUUGUAGGCGAAUGGGUCUGGCCCUGGUUUUACUCCAACAUAUACAGGCUUUCCCUUGUGUCCAGUGUUAACAGUUACUCCACCUUUGCCAACACUUACAUUUGUUCUCUUCCCAGGCUUUCCAGUGUUAACACCAACGCCUCUACCUCCCACAUUAACAGUAGUACCCGGUUUUCCUUUCCCUGUGUUUACAUUUACUCCACCCUUCCCAACGUUUACAGAAGUGCCGCUGGGUUUUCCUUUUCCUGAAUUAACAUUUACUCCGCCCUUCCCUACAUUGACAGUAGUUCCUCCCGGCUUUCCCUUCCCUGCUUCAACAUUUACCCCUCCCUUCCCUAC